rnacentral:rRNA from 1 species
UGACGUCAAGUCCUCCAUGGCCCCUUAGUAGUGGGGCUACACACGUCAUACAAUGGCCGGUACAGAGGGUAGCCAACCCGCGAGGGGGAGCCAAUCCCACAAAGCCGGUCGUAGUCCGGAUCGCAGUCUGCAACUCGACUGCGUGAAGUCGGAAUCGCUAGUAAUCGCGGAUCAGCAUGUCCGCGGUCGAAUACGUUCCCGGGUCCUU